GCAAGUCGAACGCGAAAGUCCUUCGGGGCGAGUAGAGUGGCGGACGGGUGAGUAAUGCGUGGGACUCUACCUGGUAGUGGGGGACAACCCGGGGAAACUCGGGCUAAUACCGCAUAUGUCCUACGGGACAAAGGGGGCCUCUGCUUGCAAGCUCUCGCUACCGGAUGAGCCCACGUCCGAUUAGCUAGUUGGUAGGGUAAAGGCUUACCAAGGCGACGAUCGGUAGUUGGUCUGAGAGGAUGGCC
rnacentral:rRNA from 1 species